rnacentral:rRNA from 1 species
GACGAACGCUGGCGGCGUGCUUAACACAUGCAAGUCGAGCGGUAAGGCCCUUUCGGGGGUACACGAGCGGCGAACGGGUGAGUGACACGUGGGUGACCUGCCUUUAGCUCUGGGAUAAGCCUGGGAAACUGGGUCUAAUACCGGAUAUGACCCUAUGGCGCAUGUUGUGGGGUGGAAAGCCUUGUGCGGCUAGGGAUGGGCCCGCGGCCUAUCAGCUUGUUGGUGGGGUGAUGGCCACCAAGGCGACGACGGGUAGCUGGUCUGAGAGGAUGGCCAGCCACAUUGGGACUGAGAAACGGCCCAGACUCCUACGGGAGGCAGCAGUGGGGAAUCUUGCGCAAUGGUCUAACGACUGACGCAGCGACGCCGCGUGAGGGAUGAAGCUCUUCGGAGUGUAAACCUCUGUUGCCCGGGACGAAUAGCGAUUAUUCCGACUUGACGGUACCGGGUGAGGAAGCACCGGCUAACUCCGUGCCAGCCGCCGCU